CAUGACUCUCAAUUUGCUUUUGCUGCUGGUAUAUUAUUUUAGAUACCACAUAUUCUCCUUCCUUCUCGUCCUCAUCAGUCCCAAGAUGGUUUGGUCUUCCCGGUCUUAUGCCAGCGAACAUGCUCCUCACUUGGACCAUCUUCAUUAUGGACUUUGCGGCGCUUCCUUUGUCCAGUUGCAUAAGCAUUAAUUGUUCUAUGGAAGAAAUGUACACUGCUUCCAUCUUUCUUAACGCCUGAAAGAAGAUCAGAAAUUCAGAGAAAUUGUUUGAUUCAUCAAAACGACAGAGGGAUUCUUCAAGUUCAGCACAAUGAGGAAAUGUUCAAGCAGAGCAGUUCAAAUGACAAGUUCUGUGCAACAACUUGGAAAGCAUUGAAUGUACAUAAUAAACUACAUUGCACAAAAAACAUAUCAAAUCCUAGGUUUCAGUGUGUCAUUUUUGUAUCCGAAACUCCGAAAAUGUGAUUUCUUUAUUUUCUAUAUUAGCAUUUUCAGUUA